rnacentral:rRNA from 1 species
GGUGACGACCCGGAGCGAAUCCGGGAACCAGCAGAGGUGCUGCAUGGCUGUCGUCAGCUCGUGUCGUGAGAUGUUGGUUAAGUCCCGCAACGAGCGCAACCCUUGCCCUUAGUUGCCAGCGGGUAAUGCCGGGCACGUCUAAGGGGACUGCCCGGAUAACGGGAGGAAGCGGGAUGACGUCAAGUCAGCAUGGCCUUUAUGUCCAGGGCUACACACGUGCUACAAUGGGCGGUACAGAGGGAAGCAAAGCCGCGAGGUGGAGCUAAUCCUUAAAGCCGUCCUCAGUUCGGAUCGCAGGCUGCAACUCGCCUGCGUGAAGUCGGAAUCGCUAGUAAUCGCGGAUCAGCUACGCCGCGGUGAAUACGUUCUCGGGCCUU